CUGGAUAAAGAGUAGACCGUCCACCCACCUCAGCAGCCAGCACCCAACUGAUCCUGGGUGUCCUCUGCUGCCCUCACCUCACCUCCCACCACUCUUCCCCCUCCUCCUACCUCCCCCCACCAUCCUCCCCCCAUACCUAUCCCCCUCUUAAUCACCCUUCACUCAUUACCUGCCAUACUAUACUUCCAUCAGUGGCCUCAUUCUCCUCUAACCGCUAUCAUGUGUAGGGAAAAAAAGAAUUCUGGAGUGUAAUUGAUUUUAUUCGAGUUGUGUGUUUGUAUAUACUUGUUAAUUUGGGUUUAUUGACUUUGAUGGUGUUUGUAAAGACUAAUUUGGAAGGAGAUCAGGCAGAGGACUACACUAAUGGGCAUGCAGUUGUGUAUUUGAUGUAUAUAGUAAUUCAUUUUCAUUUUCUUUGAUAAUAUUUUUUUAAGAUCAAUUUGUAAUGAGAUCAAGCAGAGUGAACGACUGAAAUAUUAGGUUACUAUGUACUUGUGUGUAUAUAUUUAUGUAUAUAUUAAUAAUUUACAUAUCAUUGCUUAUUAGUUCAUACUUAUUCCCUUUGAUAUUAUUUGUAAAGACCAAUUUAUAAUAAUGUCAACCAGGCAAGGAGAGACUCAUGGGUAACACUGAUUCAUUUAUAAACAUCACUAGGGGGGAACAUUUCAAAGAUUAUAAUGCUAAACUGAAAUCCAUUGUGUUAUUUUGGACAUAUAUACCUGUGUGAUGUAUAUACAAUGUGCCUAUGCUUACAUAUAUAAAAGUACAGGCGUGUGGGUGUGGGUGUGGGUGGGUGUGGGUGUUCAUGUACCCAAUCACCAGCAUCAUUGACCUCAUUCCUCGCAGCAGCUGAGAGUGAAUCAAGAGCGACCAGUGGGUGAUUCUAGCAAGUGUUCAGUGGUGGUUAAGAGGGGCGGGGACUAGCUAGGUCGGGACUCUCAGCCGCUUCCGACUCUCACCUCAACUAUAACCAAAUGCCGAAAGGGAGAUCAGUCGGGUAUGAAUGUGUAUGUUAAUCCUAGACAGUGAAGAUCAUGGUAGUGGCGUUGGUAAGAUUGAGGGAUGGAUGAAAGAUGAGGUUUGGUAUAAGAUAGGAGGGAGGGAAGGAGAGGAACGAGGAAAAAGAAGGAGGGAAGGAGAGGAACGAGGAAAAAGAAGGAGGGAAGGAGAGGAACAAGGAGAAGGAAGGAGGGAUGAGAAUGGAAAGCUUGUCAUAGUUAAAUCAUUAUUACUAUUAUUACUGUUAGUGUUGUUCGUAUACUCAUAACGGUUAGUGUAUUCUGUUAGGUAAUGUGUGUGUGUGUGUGUGUGUGUGUGUGUGUGUGUGUGUGUGUGUGUGUGUGUGUGAUACCUGAUAACUUACCCCGCCCCUUCUCAGUCACUACUUCUAUAACCACUACCACCACUAACUACCACUAACUACACUACUGGACAAGACAUUCAGCUAUAUACAAGUACUAUUUUAAUAUGCCCUUCUCCUCCUCCUCCUCCUCUUCCUUCUCCUAUCUUAAACCUUCCCUUCCUAUCACUUUCUUCUCGUCUUCCUCCUCCUCCUCCUCCUAUUUAUUAUUUUAACAUGCUUUACGACUCCUCUUCUUCCUCUUCCUUCUCCUCCUCCUGCCUUACAAACUUAAACCUCCCCAACCUGUCACUCCCUCCUUGUCUUUCUCCUCUUGUUCCUCUUCCUCCUAACCCUUCCCAUCCUAUCACUUCCUCCUCCUUGUCAUCCUCUUCUUCUUCUUCCUCCUCCUCCUCUCCCUCUCGAGCCCAAGGACGCGAGAAUGAAGCAAUGGUGGUCAGAAUGCUUACAAUUUAUUGAAUAUUAUACUGGUCACGUAUCACAAUGCACAAAGACUUAAUGGAAUGCACCGUGAAGCACAACGCUGGGCCGCACUUAUCAUCGCAAUGGUAGUACGUAGUAACAUACAUACAGACAGACAGACAUUCCUAUAUGGGUUAUAAGUGUGUGUGGAGGGACGUUGAGGGUUUAGUUAAUCAAGGAAUGGGAGUUACUGUGAGCAUCCAAAGAGGUGAUUGGAUUCUGUAUUGGUGUGUUCCUCGUUUGGUUCGUUAUACAGAAGUUCACAUAGACGUAGAAUUGUUUGGUGAGGUGUUUCGUGUCGUAAGGAAUGCAAAGGUAACGUGAUAUAUUGAUUGUCACACCUGUACGAGGCCCUGUUAGUGUUCCUCUUUUGUUUCUUAAUAUAGAAGUUCACAUAGACGUAUAAUUGUUUGGUUAGGUGCCUCAUCUCACAAGGAAUGCAAAGGGAAUAUUAGGUUUCUCGUGAGUCUUAGGAUGAAUGCAAGAUGUGUAUUUGUGUUCGUCUUUCGCUGCCUUUAAACACAGUAGAUAUAUGAUUGUUUAGUUAGGUGCCUCGUUGUAAGGAAUGCUAAGGGAAUGUAAGGUUUCUCGUGGGACUUAGGAUGAAUGCAAGAUGUGUAUUUGUGUUCGUCUUUCGCUGCCUUUAAACACAG